UACUGAAAAAUAAGUGAUUCAGUAGAUUUUUGGAGUGGUUGCCUUUAAAAGGGGCAUGCAUAUGCUUUUGUCCACCCUAUGAGUAGGUUUCCUCAGGAAGCUAAAGAAUGUAUUAUUUUCAAAUACUCAAUAUUCAUAACGAAAAUUUCACUUUCUUUUGGAUAUCUUAUUAAACUUUGUUUCUCAAUGCAUGUAAAUAGUUUAAAGACAUUAAUUUGUUGUGAAUAUUUAUCCGUUUAAGAGUAUUUCUUCAUUUUCUAAUAUAUCUGCUGAAUACUUGGAACAAGUGUGAAAGCUUCUUCGUGUUGUUCUUCCUGGUAAUCUUGUGGCUCUUCAGUUUUCAUUCAAAGAAUAAGGCUGAGCAGCACGGAAAUAAUCAGAAACUAUUCCAGAAAAAGAAUCAAGGUGAUCUUCUUCCAUGUUUCCUUUUUGAUCCUGUGUUUUCUCGAAUUAUUUCCUUUCAUUGUUCGCCUUUCCCGGAAAAGGUAAAUAUUCUCUUCUUUUUCUCGAUGUAGGUCUCUUUAGAUAAUUGUUUUUUUUUUGUUUUUAUUUUUUUUAUUUUUGGUCUUCCCCUGUUGACAAUUGAUUAUAUGGAUUCUUAUUACUUAAAUUUUAGAUGUGAAAAAAUUGAGCUUCACAUUCUAGGUAUUCUCAAAAUCCAGCAAGACAAAGGAAGUGAUUAGAUAAUUGGUAAGGUUCGGCUUCGACGGCUUCAAAUAGAGAACCCAGCAUUGAUAUCCUCCUGGGUUCCUGAAAGUGAAAGUUUCUCAAGAUGGGGAAAAAGGGACACGACUUCGACUCUAAGAGGUCAAGAAAGAGUUUCAUCCUGGAACAACCUACAUUUAUUAUCAACCAGAGCUUCUGGAUUUGUUACCAACUACAGCUGCUAAAAUUUACUUUCAAGGCCAUUGCACUAUAUUUCAUACAUAUCUUGGACCACCUAGAAUCUCUGCUGUUUUUGCCUUUCUGGCAAACCCCCUGUAUAACUUUGUUUCACAAAUGAUUUUAAUAUACCAAGAAGGAUACUAUAUUAAUAUUAGUUUAAUCAUGUCUCUUC